rnacentral:rRNA from 1 species
ACGAGGGGGGCAAGCGUUGUCCGGAAUUAUUGGGCGUAAAGAGCCCGUAGGCGGUGUGUCGCGUCGGCCGUGGAAACCUGCAGCUUAACUGUGGGCUUGCGGUCGAUACGGGCAUCACUGGAGUUCGGCAGGGGAGACUGGAAUUCCUGGUGUAGCGGUGAAAUGCGCAGAUAUCAGGAGGAACACCGGUGGCGAAGGCGGGUCUCUGGGCCGAUACUGACGCUGAGGAGCGAAAGCGUGGGGAGCGAACAGGA